CCUACGGGUGGCAGCAGUGGGGAGUAUUGGACAAUGGGGGCAACCCUGAUCCAGCCAUGCCGCGUGUGUGAAGAAGGCCCUCGGGUUGUAAAGAACUUUCAGUGAGGAAGAACGCCUGGUGGUUAAUACCCAUCAGGAAAGACAUCACUCACAGAAGAAGCACCGGCUAACUCCGUGCCAGCAGCCGCGGUAAUACGGAGGGUGCGAGCGUUAAUCGGAAUUACUGGGCGUAAAGCGCGCGUAGGUGGCUUGAUAAGCCGGUUGUGAAAGCCCCGGGCUCAACCUGGGAACGGCAUCCGGAACUGUCAAGCUAGAGUGCAGGAGAGGAAGGUAGAAUUCCCGGUGUAGCGGUGAAAUGCGUAGAGAUCGGGAGGAAUACCAGUGGCGAAGGCGGCCUUCUGGACUGACACUGACACUGAGGUGCGAAAGCGUGGGUAGCAAACAGGAUUAGAUACCCUAGUAGUC
rnacentral:rRNA from 1 species